AUGCAUUCGGAGAACCUUGAGACAGCGGUCUCGCUGAGGAAACGGACGCUGUCCCGAGGGAUGAGCGAGGACGAGUCUCUGCGACACAUUAUCAGAGACGCGGAAGAAUCGAGCAGACAGCUGUCAUGCAGCGAUAGCAGAUAUGGAUCGUUAAAACGAGGACAAAGACAAGAAAGCCAUAUGGAGCUGAGAGCGAGCUACGAGGACUGUGUGCAGGAGGUGCGGAGCCUGGAGCUGCAGCAGGAGGCUCUUCUGUUCCAGGUGGACUGUCUUCAGGACGCCCUCGAGGGCGCCGAGGAGAUGCUCGCUGAGACCCAGAGAGACAAUCACAGUCUCACCAUGGAACUGGAGCGAGAACGAGGGAAGAGGAGGACGUCGGAGGACAAGCUUGCCUCGUUAAAGCGGGAGCUGGAGAGGUUACGAGAGGUGAGGAAAGUCUAAGCUUACAUAAUCACAUUUAGAAAAGAACAGAAACUGCUGCAUAAUGCCAAAGCAGAGACAGGCUGGCAGUUCCUGUGUGCUUACGUAACCGUAUUUGGAGAACAGCGAGUGUGUUCACUUCCUUGCCAUGUUUUAUCAUUUAUAAUGAGAGCAUGUUGAAACUGACUUAAAAAAGACGUGGCAAAAACUUUCAUUCUGGCUCCUCAGUGGAAGUCUUUAGUACGUUUGACAAACUGACAUCUUUUGGACGUGUCUCUGCUCAGUAGGGAGGGGGGUGUUGACUGAGGAAAGCUGUCUUUCACCCUUUGUUUGUGGUCCAUUUAAUAGUUUCGUUGUCUGCGGCAGUUCCCUCCACUUCCUUGCCAUGCUCCACCCACACAGCCCUGGCAAAAGUAAAAGCAGAUUCACACUCAUAGCAUGUUUCCACACUACUUAUCUAUGAAACCCCUACAAACAAACACAAAUGCCACCAGCAAUGAAUUAUAUAUACUGGAUUGUCAAUACACAUCAUUAGUUAUCACACACGACAUGGAGUAUAUUCAAGUAAAAGUUAUUGUUGACAGCAUAUCUUAGUUCUGUGAAACGGCAAAACCAACGUUACUCAUGAAUCAAAGAUAUAGAGCAGCCCUGGCGUGUGUUUCCAGGCCGUCCCGCUCUGUAACAUCUCUCCAGCGCUGGAAAGCUUUUCUAAUAUUUACACGGGUCCAUCUUGCCUGAUUGUAACACUUCUUUUUUAGAUGAUAUUCCUCCAACCUUUUGCUCUUUUGUAUUUUCUCCAUCAUCUCUCCAGUCUCUGUCCUCACUGAGGCUCCUCCCCCCACACACCGCAUCAUCGUGAGUGUAUACGCCCCUUCCUGCUGAUUGGCUGUGUUCCAUGCACGGUCUGCUCCAAUUUCAAACAUUGUUUUUCAGAAAUCACUGAGUCCACCUCUAAGUGCUCAUUAGUUUAAAAAUAGUGUAUGUCCACAGACGUCCAAGACAGUCCCUAGUCGGGUUUGUGAUGGCUAACAUGAGAUUGGCAGAAAGUGUGUGUUAUGUCUGCUUUAAUCAUGGCUUUGUGUGCGUUCACUACCACACAUAACCAGUAGGCCUGCCAAAAUGACUAAUAAACUAAAUUUGAAUUUCUGACUUAAUAAUUUG
ensembl:lncRNA